rnacentral:tRNA from 1 species
GGAGAGGUGGCCGAGUGGUCGAAGGCGCGCGCCUGCUAAGCGCGUGUAGGGGCUUAUACCUCUACCGAGGGUUCGAAUCCCUCCCUCUCCG